rnacentral:lncRNA from 1 species
UUGGGAUUUAUAUAUUUUCAGUUACCACUCCGGCACUCCCACAUCGGCCUGGAACUCAAUUAACAGUUAACAGGGACUCAUAUCACAAAAAUAUGGUUCAGGCAUGGCAAUGUCUUGCCUAAAUAAGAAUGGAAUGACCCAUAUCACAAAAAUAUGUAAUCAGAUCACCGACAAUUUCAGGGGAGAGAAGGGGACAGAGAAAGAGAGGUCGCCUGGGUACCUGUGACGAAGGCGAGGUGGGUUUUUCAGAUAACUUAUAG